UUCCAGACUCCUACGGGAGGCAGCAGUGGGGAAUAUUGCACAAUGGGGGGAACCCUGAUGCAGCGACGCCGCGUGGGUGAAGGAGCACCUCGGUGCGUAAAGCCCUAUCGGCAGGGAAGAAACAGACGGUACCUGACUAAGAAGCCCCGGCUAACUACGUGCCAGCAGCCGCGGUAAUACGUAGGGGGCAAGCGUUAUCCGGAUUUACUGGGUGUAAAGGGAGCGUAGACGGUUAUGCAAGUCUGAAGUGAAAGCCCAAGGCUCAACCAUGGGACUGCUUUGGAAACUGUAAAACUGGAGUGCAGGAGAGGUAAGCGGAAUUCCUAGUGUAGCGGUGAAAUGCGUAGAUAUUAGGAGGAACACCAGUGGCGAAGGCGGCUUGCUGGACAGUAACUGACGUUGAGGCUCGAAAGCGUGGGGAGCAAACAGGAUUAGAUACCCGCGUAAC
rnacentral:rRNA from 1 species